GGAUGAGUGGCGAACGGGUGAGUAACACGUGGGGAAUCUGCCUAGGAGUGGGGGAUAACAUUCGGAAACGGAUGCUAAUACCGCAUAUCUUCAUAGACCGCAUGGUCUAUGAAUGAAAGACGGCUUUGCUGUCGCUCUUAGAUGAUCCCGCGGCGUAUUAGUUAGUUGGUGGGGUAAAGGCCUACCAAGACAAUGAUACGUAGCCGACCUGAGAGGGUGAUCGGCCACACUGGGACUGAGACACGGCCCAGACUCCUACGGGAGGCAGCAGUAGGGAAUCUUCCACAAUGGGUGCAAACCUGAUGGAGCAAUGCCGCGUGAAUGAAGAAGGUCUUCGGAUCGUAAAGUUCUGUUAUUAGUGAAGAACAAAUCGAGGAGUAACUGUCUCGAUUUUGACGGUAACUAACCAGAAGGUCACGGCUAACUACGUGCCAGCAGCCGCGGUAAUACGUAGGUGACAAGCGUUGUCCGGAAUUAUUGGGCGUAAAGGGAGCGCAGGCGGUUGGAAUAGUCUGAUGUGAAAGCCCACGGCUUAACCGUGGAAGGUCAUUGGAAACUGUCCAACUUGAAUACAGAAGAGGUAAGUGGAAUUCCAAGUGUAGCGGUGAAAUGCGUAGAUAUUUGGAGGAACACCAGUGGCGAAGGCGACUUACUGGUCUGUAAUUGACGCUGAGGCUCGAAAGCGUGGGUAGCGAACAGGAUUAGAUACCCUGGUAGUCCACGCCGUAAACGAUGAGUGCUAAGUGUUGGAGGGUUUCCGCCCUUCAGUGCUGGAGUUAACGCAU
rnacentral:rRNA from 1 species